UUUUCUUUCAUUACAUUGUAACAUGUUUCACACUAACACUUGCUAUAUUUAAUUACUUGAAAAUAUGCACUUGUAUCCCCAUUACCUCUUCAACUUUGGGGGUAGGGCCGAAUAGAAAAACUUACACAAUACAGAUGAACAUGCGCGGAAAGGGUGGCGGAACGUAAGGAGAUCUUUGACGUGAAGCUUUUGAUGACUUUAUUGUUAGAUAGACAAAAUAUUAAUCUUAUAGGUUGGUCAUCAUCUUUACUUCUAGUUCUUUCGACUUUGUCUUUUUCUAUCAAAUUGAAUUAGUGAUUUUUGAUUAGAGAACUAAAUAGUUGAAUCAUCAUAAAUUCUAAACCACAUUUCGCAUUAGAUAACUGAUAUUUCCACAAUAUUUUUUGAUAUUUUUACAGCAAAUGUAUCGCUAUAGAGGUAUAACGUCGCUAUAGGAUUUAUAGCGACGAUUUUGUUAUGAAAAUAUCAUUUUCUGUUGUUGAAAUAUCUGUUUCCUUCGCACGAAACUGUUAAUCUAUUUAUAAUAGAUAUUCUAGGUUAUCUAUAUGGUGGCCGAUGAGGUGUUGAAUCUAGUGGUUAAAACUGAGAUACUGAGACAAUGGUCUUUAAGUUCGAUUCUCAUCUUAAGCUAGUUUAUGUCUUCCAAAGUUCAAUUCUCACUUGAGUAAGUUUAUGUCUUCCAUUAUGGUUUCCACUUUAUGUGAGGCUUGUUUGUGAGUUUAUUUCUUUCUCCUUCAGUGAGAUUUGAUUGGUUCUUGUUAUGAGAAGUUUGUUUCCUCUUUUAUGUGAGACUUGUCUAUGAGUUUAUUUAUUCCUUCUUCAAUGAGAUUUGAUUGGUUUAAUGAUGAUGUCUUGGUUAUGAAAUAUGUUGUGUUCUGGGGCUUUCAAAAAGAAAAAAAAGGAGACUUAUAUGGUGGUCACAUGUAUAUAAAAUAGAUUAUAUUUUACUUAAAACUGAUUAGUAUAUGUUUUAUUCCAUAUUUCCAAGCACAAAAUAUAGUACUAGGAUUUAUUGCUAUCAGGAAUGGGUUUGAAUCAGCAGCAGAAGCGAGACCAUUAUUUGGCUUGCUUAUAAUGAAUGCUGAUGCAUGAACAAUCAAAAGCCUGGUGAAACUUAUGUGGUGCUUUAAAGGACUGAUUUCCCAUGGAAUAAAAACUCUUAAAUCUUUGCUUAUUUAAUUAGUCCAUUUUAAAGUCAAGUUCAAUUUGAAUUUGAAUAUGUUCAAGCUAAUGGAAACUUUGAAUUGGAAUAUGUUGACAUACUAUUGGUUCAAGUCAAAAACUACUAAAGGAAAAUGAUUUUAUUAGGAAGCAUGAAAAUGGAACAAGUUCAACACAUUGUUGAACACAGACUACUACAUAGUACAUACAUCAGUUUUCCCUCAACUGAUCAAACAAAAACAAAAAGUGAACUUCCCAAACAAGCCCAAUUAACAUUAGACAUCAUUAAAAAAAAACAGCAAAGGAUAGUUUGUGAUUAGAUGAUUUGCCAUAGAAAACUUUCCAUGAUCUUUGUGCAGCAUAUGGUACACAACACUCUCAGUGUAGUAAUAUCAUUUUGUUGGUUUGAAAUAAGAGCGUAGCCGUGCGGAUAGUUCAUCUCUAGGAGGCAAGCUUUGCUUGAUAAUGGUGGAGUUAAGGUAUUCAUUAGCCCAUUCACUUAAUCUGGGAAGCUUCUCACUUGUCAGCACUUGUAUCCCCAACAUCUCUUGAUAAAUUCCGAGCCAAAGACCUAUAAAAUUAGCAGAAAUAUCAGCCAGUCCAAUAGUCUCUCCACCAAAGAACUUC
rnacentral:lncRNA from 1 species